UACGGGGGGUGCAAACGUUGCUCGGAAUCAUUGGGCGUAAAGCGCACGUAGGCGGUUCGUUAUGUCGGAUGUGAAAGCCCUUGGCUUAACCGAGGAAGUGCAUCCGAAACUGGCGAGCUAGAGUACGAAAGAGGAUCGCGGAAUUCCCGGUGUAGAGGUGAAAUUCGUAGAUAUCGGGAGGAACACCGGUGGCGAAGGCGGCGAUCUGGGUCGAUACUGACGCUGAGGUGCGAAAGCGUGGGGAGCAAACAGG
rnacentral:rRNA from 1 species